AUCUAUGGCCACACCACCCUGAACACGCCCAAUCUCAUCUGAUCUCGGAAGCUAAGCAGGGUCGGGCCUGGCUAGUACGUGGAUGGGAGAUUUCUCCUGUUAGUCCUAUUUUAUCCUUGAGA
rnacentral:rRNA from 1 species